UUUGACUCCCCGUGCGGCGUCAUCUUGGUGAACUCCCCCAGGAUCGAAAGAUAGCAAGGGUAGCUGGGCUCUGAUGGGUGUGCGGGGGGUCUUUUUU
rnacentral:SRP_RNA from 1 species